rnacentral:rRNA from 1 species
UACGUAGGGUGCAAGCGUUGUCCGGAAUUAUUGGGCGUAAAGAGCUUGUAGGCGGUUUGUCGCGUCUGCUGUGAAAUUUCGGGGCUCAACCCCGAACUUGCAGUGGGUACGGGCAGACUAGAGUGUGGUAGGGGAGACUGGAAUUCCUGGUGUAGCGGUGAAAUUCGUAGAUAUCAGGAGGAACACCGGUGGCGAAGGCGGCUUUCUGGACGACAACUGACGCUGAGACGCGAAAGCGUGGGGAGCAAACAGG